CUGGUGUAGUAGGGUAAGCUGGUUUUGGAUAGGCUGGUGUAGUAGGGUAAGCUGGUUUUGGAUAGGCUGGUGUAGUAGGGUAAGCUGGUGUAGUAGGGUAAGUUGGUUUUGGGUAGGUUGGUGUAGUAGGAUAAGCUGGUUUUGAAUAGGCUGGUGUAGUAGGGUAAGUUGGUUUUGGGUAGGUUGGUGUAGUAGGGUAAGUUGGUUUGGGGUAGGCAGGUGUAGUAGAGUAAGUUGGUUUUGGA